UACAGGGGGGGCAAGCGUUGUUCGGAAUUACUGGGCGUAAAGGGCUCGUAGGUGGCCAACUAAGUCGGACGUGAAAUCCCUCAGCUUAACUGGGGAACUGCAUCCGAUACUGGAUGGCUUGAGUUUGGGAGAGGGAUGCGGAAUUCCAGGUGUAGCGGUGAAAUGCGUAGAUAUCGGGAGGAACACCUGUGGCGAAAGCGGCGCACUGGACCACAACUGACGCUGAGGCGCGAAAGCUAGGGGAGCAAACAGG
rnacentral:rRNA from 1 species